rnacentral:rRNA from 1 species
CCUACGGGCGGCAGCAGUGAGGAAUAUUGGUCAAUGGGCGCGAGCCUGAACCAGCCAAGUAGCGUGAAGGAUGACUGCCCUACGGGUUGUAAACUUCUUUUAUAAAGGAAUAAAGUGAGGCACGUGUGCCUUUUUGUAUGUACUUUAUGAAUAAGGAUCGGCUAACUCCGUGCCAGCAGCCGCGGUAAUACGGAGGAUCCGAGCGUUAUCCGGAUUUAUUGGGUUUAAAGGGAGCGUAGAUGGGUUGUUAAGUCAGUUGUGAAAGUUUGCGGCUCAACCGUAAAAUUGCAAUUGAUACUGGCAGCCUUGAGUACAGUUGAGGUAGGCGGAAUUCUCGGUGUAGCGGUGAAAUGCUUAGAUAUCACGAAGAACCCCGAUUGCGAAGGCAGCUUACUAAACUGUGACUGACAUUGAUGCUCGAAAGUGUGGGUAUCAAACAGGAUUAGAUACCCUAGUAGUC